ensembl:lncRNA
UGUAGGCAACCUGCUCUAUUGCUGCUGACACCCACCGCUCAUAUUCUAACCAGAAGAGGCUGCUUAGUGUGACGUCAACCCGUCCCUUUCAACUUCUAAUCUUUGGACGGUGCCAUCUUUUUCUUCUUGUUGUUAUUUUUUGGGGCUAAUUUACAAUCUGGACGCCUUCCCACAGCAGGGUUACCUCCUGCCCGCGUCCAGCCCAGCUGCCGCCUUCAGAGGCACCGUGCAGCCAGAUGGACAGACACAGGCACACGUCUGUGCACCAGCACCGCUCCCUGUGAAGGAAACAGACGGAAGAGGCUGGCGGAGCAAGCUGCUGCCUAAGCUGUCAUUGCUUAGGAAAAAGUGGCAGAGGACAUCUCUGACACCUUGGAAACAUGGCACCAGCUCAUGCCCUGCUGUGUGGCUGUCCCCUGAUGGGAACUAAGAAGCCAUUCUUGGAGCCUCCAUCCCUCUGUCCUUGACAAAAAACAAAAACUAGGGUGUGGAAAGAUGCUGCCAAACCCUGCACCACAACAGCUCUUGCCACAAGUGCUCCCUUGCCUCAAACCAAUCUAGGAGGAAGCGCAGCAUAAACAGUCUGGUAAGAUCUGCUCCAGACGCCUGCUGUGGCACAUCAGGAGACUAACAUAUUAACUCUGAAAAAACCACUAAUUCUAAGGAGAACUCUGUACUUAAGGUGGAAGACAUUUUGCAGAGAUCAGCAGAGUUUGUCUGGUGCUGAGAAACCAGGGAAACCUGUUAACAGCAGACUCUGAGGAUAAUUGAGAAAAUUAGUCAACGCCACUUUUAAAGGAUUUUUGAUUACAAUAUCGCAUGGGUUGGUAAUACUUUGCUCUUAAUCUUUUCAAAUAUACACUUGCAAGGGUUUGUUUAUCCCUUGCUUCUGACUUGCAGUCAAACAGGGGCUCUGCUCCUUCUGGGGCUCCAGUUGAGCAAGCCAACUACGUCACUGUAUGUAAAAUCAUUGGACAACACAUCCAUGCCAUACAGGAGGUCAUUAUUUCUUUUUGCAUGUAACAUAGUACAAAGAACCAGCAGCUGAAGUAUCACUUGAUAAAAACAACAGCUCCCAAUUAUACAAGCUAAGGCUGUCGUAAGGGUGACAGAGCACUGGAACAGGUUGCCCAUAGAGGUUGUGGAGGCUCCUUCAAUGGAGAUAUUCAAGACUCAUCUGGAUGCCUACCUCUGUGACCUACGUAGGGAACCUGCUUUAGCAGGGGGCUUGGACUCAAUGAUCUCUUGAGGUCAACCUUCCAACCCCUACAAUUCUGUGAAAGGACCUAAGACCAAGACCCCUGCCCAUGGGCCAGCAUGCAGUGAAGGCGGGAAAUGAGUGCUAUAGGGUACCCAUCACAAUGGAAGAGACAAACCUGCCAACAGAAAGGGGACUGGCCCGAGAUGCCCAUCCUGGAGCUCGGCGGACUUCUUGAAGCCAGCCUUAUUUAUUUUGCUGAAAAUACUUCAUGCAAAAAGAGCUUGGGGAAGGUAGGCUGGUGCCCCAGUUUCAUCCCAUCCCUCUUUCACCCUUAUUUCAUGAGGAAGAUGCAUAUUCCAUUUCACAUAAGCCCAGGCGUAUGCAAGUGAUUUCAUGUGACCAGCUACAUAUAAUUAUCCUAGAUGUAGGCCUAUAAAUGAUUCAUUAAGAUCUGUAUCAGCUGGUUAUUUAAUGUGUCCUGCUAAUUAAAACUUUGUGAUAAAGACAACUACAAGCUUUCUGUAAUUAUGCCUCUGGACAGCACAACGUGUUUCCAACCAGUAUUUGCAGUUCCUGGGUAUACAUUGACACCUAAAGUAGGGUAGAAAAAUAUAGGUUAACUGCUGCUCUUAAUAGCUCUUUGUUAAUAAAGUUAUUGUAGAAUUUUAUU